GUAGGUGGCAAGCGUUGUCCGGAAUUAUUGGGCGUAAAGCGCGCGCAGGCGGUCCUUUAAGUCUGAUGUGAAAGCCCACGGCUCAACCGUGGAGGGUCAUUGGAAACUGGGGGACUUGAGUACAGAAGAGGAAAGCGGAAUUCCAAGUGUAGCGGUGAAAUGCGUAGAGAUUUGGAGGAACACCAGUGGCGAAGCGGCCUUCUGGUCUGUAACUGACGCUGAGGCGCGAAAGCGUGGGGAGCAAACAGGAUUAGAUACCCUGGUAGUCCACGCCGUAAACGAUGAGUGCUAAGUGUUAGGGGGUUUCCCGCCCCCCUUAGUGCUGCAGCUAACGCAUUAAGCACUCCGCCUGGGGAGUACGGCCGCAAGGCUG
rnacentral:rRNA from 1 species